AUUGAACGCUGGCGGCAGGCCUAACACAUGCAAGUCGAGCGGAUGAAGGGAGCUUGCUCCUGGAUUCAGCGGCGGACGGGUGAGUAAUGCCUAGGAAUCUGCCUGGUAGUGGGGGAUAACGUCCGGAAACGGGCGCUAAUACCGCAUACGUCCUGAGGGAGAAAGUGGGGGAUCUUCGGACCUCACGCUAUCAGAUGAGCCUAGGUCGGAUUAGCUAGUUGGUGGGGUAAAGGCCUACCAAGGCGACGAUCCGUAACUGGUCUGAGAGGAUGAUCAGUCACACUGGAACUGAGACACGGUCCAGACUCCUACGGGAGGCAGCAGUGGGGAAUAUUGGACAAUGGGCGAAAGCCUGAUCCAGCCAUGCCGCGUGUGUGAAGAAGGUCUUCGGAUUGUAAAGCACUUUUAGUUGGGAGGAAGGGCAGUAAGUGAAUACCUUGCUGUCUUGACGUUACCAACAGAAUAAGCACCGGCUAACUUCGUG
rnacentral:rRNA from 1 species